GACGAACGCUGGCGGCGUGCUUAACACAUGCAAGUCGAACGGAAAGGCCCUGCUUUUGUGGGGUGCUCGAGUGGCGAACGGGUGAGUAACACGUGAGUAACCUGCCCUUGACUUUGGGAUAACUUCAGGAAACUGGGGCUAAUACCGGAUAGGAGCUCCUGCUGCAUGGUGGGGGUUGGAAAGUUUCGGCGGUUGGGAUGGACUCGCGGCUUAUCAGCUUGUUGGUGGGGUAGGGGCUUACCAAGGCUUUGACGGGUAGCCGGCCUGAGAGGGUGACCGGCCACAUUGGGACUGAGAUACGGCCCAGACUCCUACGGGAGGCAGCAGUGGGGAAUAUUGCACAAUGGGCGGAAGCCUGAUGCAGCAACGCCGCGUGCGGGAUGACGGCCUUCGGGUUGUAAACCGCUUUCGCCUGUGACGAAGCGUGAGUGACGGUAAUGGGUAAAGAAGCACCGGCUAACUACGUG
rnacentral:rRNA from 1 species